GGCCUAACACAUGCAAGUCGAGCGGUAACAGAAAGUAGCUUGCUACUUUUGCUGACGAGCGGCGGACGGGUGAGUAAUGCUUGGGAAUAUGCCUUUUGGUGGGGGACAACAGUUGGAAACGACUGCUAAUACCGCAUAAUGUCUACGGACCAAAGUGGGGGACCUUCGGGCCUCACGCCAAAAGAUUAGCCCAAGUGGGAUUAGCUAGUUGGUAAGGUAAUGGCUUACCAAGGCAACGAUCCCUAGCUGGUUUGAGAGGAUGAUCAGCCACACUGGGACUGAGACACGGCCCAGACUCCUACGGGAGGCAGCAGUGGGGAAUAUUGCACAAUGGGCGCAAGCCUGAUGCAGCCAUGCCGCGUGUGUGAAGAAGGCCUUCGGGUUGUAAAGCACUUUCAGUAAGGAGGAAAGGGUAGUCUUUAAUAGAGGCUAUCUGUGACGUUACUUACAGAAGAAGCACCGGCUAACUCCGUGCCAGCAGCCGCGGUAAUACGGAGGGUGCGAGCGUUAAUCGGAAUUACUGGGCGUAAAGCGUACGCAGGCGGUUUGUUAAGCGAGAUGUGAAAGCCCC
rnacentral:rRNA from 1 species